AAAACAUGUUUCUACUGUGAAAUGUGACAGACUGUAACUUAUAUUCAGGAUUGGAAAAGAGUGGUAAGACAGGCGACCAGCAUCUUGCAGCCUCUUGAACAAUGAUAUUGCGCUCAGGAUUUCAAGUGCCUUAUGAGAAGAGCCAGAAAAGACCUAGGAAAAAGAAAGAAAAAAUAAAAGCUAGAAUUAAAUUCCAUCAACAAACGCAGAGCGAAACAUGUACAUAUCGGAAUAAAUCACCAGCAUAUAAACUUCGUGAAAGAAAGAAAUGUUACAUACAGACAGAGGAUUCAAAAACCGUGCAUUUUGACUUAGAUGAGCAUGGCCAUCGUGAAAUAUCAGUCAAGGAUACAGCAUCUGAUGAAGAUAUCGCAUGGUUAGACAUAUUUACAAGCACUGAACAAGAUACGAUACAUGAAAAUGGAGCUAAAAAGCAUUGUAAUGAUUUGGUGACCAUGACUCAGAGAUCAAAAUGUAAUCAUUUUCUCCUACUGAGCGAGAAUGAGAAACAACUAGAUCUGAAGGUCUUGAAUUCACAACCCAUAGGACUCAGCAUGGCAGUGUGCAGCAAUGAGGAGUAUCCAGACCUCCAACAGCUAACAGAAAUGAGUCAAGAAAACCAGCUUUUCAUCAUGCAUAUGAACCCAGGAAAUUCAGUUAAAUUCCAGUGUUAUCAGGAUAAAAAUUACUUUCUUCAUGUAAAUAAGGACUCAAUUGAUGUCUGCAAAUUUGAAGAGACAGAAGCAGAUGCGGGGAAAGACUUUCAUUUCAAGGUUGAAUAUGUGGAGAAUGAGAAGGCAAAUAGGACUAAACAAUGUUAAGUCCAUGUAGGAUUUAUAUCCUUAGCUUGUAUAACUUUUUCUACAUUCUUGUUUUAUUCAAGCUUGAUUUUGGUAUUAAAUAAGCACAGUGCCUCAUUUGAGUACUGACUGGAGAAGUGGUUAGCUGUGUAGGUAAACAAUUGCUUGGUAUAUUGUUGUCUGAGGAUUGUAUUUUAAAGGAGCUGGGCUGGAAAGGGAAGAAUACAAGAUCAGACAUCUGAAAAAUGGGGGGAGGAAGAGAGAAAAAUUAUAUGUAAAGGUUAAUUAGAAUUCAUUUCAUAUUUUGUAAUAUGGAACCCUUACACAAACUAAUUUAACCCAAAGAAAAAAUAUUUACUAGCAUGUACACCUUAUACCCACAAAAACCAACAUUAGGGAGGGUUUAUGCAAGCAUUUGGAGCUCUGAAAAGAACAAAGGAAGAGGGCUGUUAGAUCAAGGCUAUGCAGCAAACCUAGCCUUUCUCCUUUACUCCCAAAUUAAUCUAUUUCCUUUUGUAUGCAACUUCAGUGCCCUUUUAUCUUUGCAGCCCUGCCUAAAAUCCAGAUAUAUUCAUUGGGAAUCAUACUGUAUUUGAUAGGGGAGACAGAGAUGUCAGACUGAUAGAGUGUCACAAGAGGACAUGUUCCCAUGCUCUUAUCUCUGGAUCUUGCAGGGAAGCACAAAAGAGGAGGAAACCUUUGGUUCAGUUAUAAGGAGAAACACAAAACAGUAACCUAACAAAAACAAAAUAUUCAAAAUCACUAAAUAUAAUAAACUCAAGCUCCUUAUGGUAGGCUGGCA
ensembl:lncRNA uncharacterized LOC109323679